GGAGUGCUCGAAAGAGAGCCGUAACACAGGUGCUGCAUGGCUGUCGUCAGCUCGUGUCGUGAGAUGUUGGGUUAAGUCCCGCAACGAGCGCAACCCUUGUCAUUAGUUUGCUACAUUCAGCUGGGCACUCUGUGGAGACUGCCGGUGUUAAACCGGAGGAAGGUGGGGAUGACGUCAAGUCCUCAUGGCCCUUAUGACCAGGGCUACACACGUGCUACAAUGGCCGGUACAAAGAGUUGCAAUACCGCGAGGUGGAGCUAAUCUCAUAAAGCCGGUCUCAGUUCGGAUUGGAGUCUGCAACUCGACUCCAUGAAGUUGGAAUCGCUAGUAAUCGCGGAUCAGCACGCCGCGGUGAAUACGUUCCCGGGCCUU
rnacentral:rRNA from 1 species